UGGGGGAUAUUGCACAAUGGGGGAAACCCGUGAUGCAGCAACGCCGCGUGAGUGAAGAAGUAUUUCGGUAUGUAAAGCUCUAUCAGCAGGGAAGAAAAUGACAGUACCUGACUAAGAAGCCCCGGCUAACUACGUGCC
rnacentral:rRNA from 1 species